rnacentral:lncRNA from 1 species
GCCGGCACUGGCAAUCCAGAUUUCUUGGCCGCGUUGUAGAAGUCGAGCUUCGAUCGUCUCAAGACCUUGCUCUGAUAACCCACAAUUGGAACUCCCAAAGACUCCAAGUAUUCAGUAGCCUCUAUACCCGCGACGGUAUCCUCGAGUUGGCCCCACAUGAAGUUGAGGAACAUGUCGAAGCCCUCGGCGACGGCAGCAUCGAUCUGGGCGUUGGCAGUGGCUUUGUUGAUGUAACGGUGAUGGAAUUCGUGUUGGGAGGUGAACAUGGCGGGGUCUGGAAAGCUGGGGUCAUUGAUGGCAAGGGCUUGGGUGGAGUCUGCGUAGGGAGCCUGGAGAACACAGAUCUUCAUGGCGAAUGGUUUGGUACUAAUUCCGCAGCUUGAUCAGAAAUCGCUGAGGAGGAAUACGCCCGUACGAAAGAAGCUGUGCUUGUUCUCGAAACCUGCAGAUGGCCAGGAAAGUCAACAGAAUGUCAUGCCUGCACAUGCAUAUUACAGUCACAUACAAGAGUAUAAAAACUCUCGAACGAACGAAAUUUGUUUUUCCAUGUAGCAGCAGUCUGGCUAGUACCGUGGGCAGAAGAAAACAUGAAAGGCACGAUGAUAACUAUUCACAUCGGAUGGGACGUGACCGUGAAAUCAGACCAGCGUUAGUAGCUCUUAUUACAAACACCUGAAAUUCAUGCACCGAGGAUUGAGUGUCCAGGACUAUGUGACCCCUGAAGCUGGUCUAUCACAACGUGAAUUGUAUCUUCGAAUUGCACCACCUUUGGAAAAUUAUGACCUAGACUCCCUGCACGAAGUAGACUCUGCGAGUAAACAAGAAUAAGACGCGGCUUCUGCAACAAGGAGGCCUUCAGACCUUACCGAAUAUGAAAUUGCGGCAUGCAGGAACGUCCGCCUCUAAAAGAGUAGAAUGGCUGCACGCAUGUCGAGAGGGAUGAGAACGUCAGGUUCCGGCUUAUUUAUCUCCCCCUCUCUCACAUGAACCUCGUGGGGACCUGGCACCAUUUCUUCGCGUCUUUCCAGGAUGGAUUGUCAGUGCCCUCUCAAGUACAAUUGCUGCAUUGACGUCAGGUUCAGUCGUACUUAUCUCCCCCUGUCUCACAUAGACCUCAUCAUUCCUUCACUUGGGCUGUUUUUAACAGAAGCAGCGAUCAUCGUGAAGUUGCUGUUUUCGAUAUUUUUCAGUUUGCUGAUUGAGUGGAGUGAUCUACAACGGAGAGAGAAAAGUAUCUUGAAGGGUAUAUAUUAUUAUAUUCUUAUAUCAUAUCAAGACAGAGUAGGUCAAGGUACUCUCUAUCACUAUCAAUAACAAAUGACCUUAUUCUCUAGAUAAAUCUAGUACAAGCGUUACAUCUCCUAUUCCACAAUAGUACAUAACACUGUCUUUUUGAAGGACUCAACUUGAAACUUUAAUUAAAAAUAAUAAGUUUGUGCAAAGUAAAAAAAAUCAGAAAUUAAAACAACAGUUCAAUAGAUUGGAAUACGUUGUAAAAACUAAAUUGUUAUUACUGGUGUAUCAAAAGAUAUAGAAGCCAUACAAUAAUAAUGAUUGAAAAAAUAAACUGAUGAAAAUGAAGAGGGAUUUAAUGCUGCCAUUGUAAAAUUUACUCGCAAUGUUAAAAGUUUUUGAUAUCUUUUCAUUCCACCUAUAAUGAUUCUUUAAUGAUUCUUGGACGUGAACAAUUUACAGAAGAUAAUUUAAAUAUAGAACAGAAAAUACAGAUAUUUUAGAAAUAAAUAAAUAAAAAACACAUUAACAUAAAAAAAUAAAAUGGAAUAAAAAUUUAAAGUCUCUCUCUCUUUCUCUAUAAAUAUAUAUGUAUAUAUAUAUAUAUAUAUAUAUAUAUAUAAGUAUGUAUAAAAUAUGUACUAUUUUAUUAAGAUACAAAUUUUUUAAAUAUUAAUACAUAUAAAUAUAUUUAUUUUUUAAUGAUAAUAUUAUUAUUAUUAAUUAUUUUUAUUGCUUCAUAAUAUUUAUUAAUCAAGAUAUAUGAAUUUCUAUCACGUUAAAUUUGAAAUACAAUGUUUAUGUUGAAAAUCAACAAGUACUUGCUUAAUUACAACUACAUAGAGAUUAAGCAUAUUAUUUUGCUAAUAGUCAAAACACAGCAAAGAAUUAAAGGAAGUUACUAUGGUAGCACCUAGGAUUUAGUUAGAUGAAGUAAAAAUGGAUAUAAUAUCAAAAGGAUGGAAGUGGCCUCGUUGCUUACCAAACCACCACCUAUAAGUAAAAGGUGUUGGAAGUAAGAAUUAUCUUACUCCACACUUUUGUUUGUAUGCAAACCUUGCUGAUACUAAGUGUUUGUAGCUUUUAGACUUCUUUUCUUCAAUAGGUUAUGGGCCCACUGACAUUUGCUUGAGUGUUUUGAAGUUCUUUGAAGUGGUUGUUGAUGUGUGGAGUAGAUCAAGUUGUUGUUGGUGAUGUUAGGAUUUAGAAGUACCUAACUUUUAGAUUCAGAUCUAGAUCUAGAUCUUAAUUUACUCUUACUUGUAGUUAAGAGCAUUUUAGUAUUGGUGUUUGGUUUUUCACCUUAAGGCAAAGUUAUACAAUACUUUUAUUGUGCUAUUGCUCAAAUAGAUCUUUGGUGGUGUAACUUUGUAGUUUCAUGUUCUAAAGAUGCUGAUUGUGCUUAAAAGGCCUCUUAUGGUGUAUAGAUAUAAUUUGUGAAUAUAAGAGUGAUAUUUGAGUGGCAAGUCAGAUUUGAGACAUUAAGAUAGGUCAUUAGACUUGUGAGAAGCCUUAGAAGUGAAGUUGAAAGUGUUUUUGAGAGUAAGAACACUAGUUUGUUUACAAAGAAGGAUUCUAUGAUUCUAAAGUAGCAAUAUUUUUUGCUGAUUUUGAGAGCAUUAGGACUUCUUCUUUUAAUUUUUUUUUGAUAAAUCUCUCGCUUCGAUAUGGCUUCAAGUGAAGGUAAAGGAUUGAGAGUUAUUGAGAAGUUUAGAGGUGAGAAUUUUUACCAUUGGAAGGUAAAAAUGGAGCUUUUGUUGGCGUCUUUAGAUCUUUAAGAUAUUGUAGAUCAAAGUGAAGAGGCUCUAAGCAUAGAUGCUUAUAUGAAAGAGAAGAAGAAAUUCAAAUGUCAUGAAAAGAAGGUUUUUGGAUUGAUUGCAACCAAUGUGGAUGAAGCUAACUUCUCUCACAUUAUUUCUUGCAAAGAAUUAGCGGAAGCAUGAAAGAUUCUUUGCAACAUCUAUGAGAGCAAGAACUUAUCUAACAUCAUCUAUACAAUGAAGAAGUUCUUCACUUGCAAGAUGGAAGAAAGUGAAGACCUCAUGGCUCAUGUCAAUAAGGUAAAGGUUCUUACAAACAAACUACCAAUUGUUGAUAAGCCUUUAGAAGAAAGUGAUAUUGUCAUGACCUUGUUGAUGACUCUUCCUGAAUCCUACAACUACCUUAUAAUGGCAUUGGAAUUCAUUAAGCUAAAAGAGCUUAUAAUGGAAUAUGUCAUAAUAAGACUUUCUCAUAAAGUAACCAAGAAGAAAGAAAAUGAGCCUCAAAGUAAAGAUUCAAUACUCUAGUCACGUCAAGGCAAGGACAACUAUUCAAAUCAACAAGGUAAUGUCAAAUCUUGCUUCAUUUGUCGCAAAGUAGGCCAUUUUGCUAGAAAUUGCUACAAAGAUAAGAAGAUAGAGAAAGAGAAUGCAAAUAGUAUGCAAGAUGAGUUUGGAGGACAAGAUUAUAUAUUCAAGGCAACAAAUGGGACCUCUAUGGAUGCCAUGUCAAGAUGGAUUGUGGAUUCAGGUUGUUUUAAGUAUAUGACAUCUUAUAAGUAUUCAGUUGACAUUUAUGAUGCUAUUUCAGCAUUAAAGGUGGUGUUGACAGAUAGUGGUACAUGUGAAGGCAUUGGAAUUGCCUCUAUUAUGAUAGAAGUGGUUGUGAAUAGAAAAACCAAUAGGAUCAGAUUCAAAAACGUCUUUCAUGUGCCUAAGAUGAAGCAAAACCUACUUUUGAUGAGUAAACUUGUAAUAGAAGGUUUUAAAGUUCAAUUCGACAUGAAUGGAUGUUUUGUAAAAAUAUUGAGUUGAAUUAAGGUCUUCAAAGGCUUUAAAGAGGGAAAUUUGUACUAUCUCAUUUAUAAGAAGGUGAAUGGAGUGGAGGUAGCUCCAUUUGUAGAGUUUACAUCAAACCAAGACAAGUUGAAAAUAUGGCAUCAUCGCCUUGGCUAUUUGAAUGUGAAGAGCAUGAGAGAGCUCAAGUCUAUGGUAAGUGGCUUAAAUCUUUGCAAUACGAGCCAAAAUAUAAAAGAACUUGUACGUAAAAAAUGCAUACAAGGCAAACAACAAAAGACCUCAUUUCCAAGUAACUUAGCAACAUAUGCUACCACGUUGCUAGAGAUUGUCCAUUCUGAUAUAUGUGGACUUAUGAAGAACACAAAUAAUGGAAGAUCAAAGUAUUUUUUGACUUUUGUUAAUGAUUAUUCAAGAAAGAUUUGAAUUUACAUUCUUAAAUCCAACAGUGAAUGCUUUUAGAGGUUUAAGGAGUUUAAAGCACUUAUUGAAAAAUAAAAUAAAUGUAAGAUCAAGAUGCUACGUACGGACAAUGGAAGUGAGUACAUGUCUAAGUAAUUUGAUAUUUAUUUGAAGAAUGAAAGAAUUUCUAGACAAACUACAACUCCGUACACUUCACAAUAAAAUAGUGUUGCUGAAAGGGCAAAUCAAACUAUUGUAGAGAUGGCAAGGAGCAUGCUUCAUGCUCAACACCUUGGUUAUGAGUUUUGGAUGGAAAUUGUGGUGAAUGCAGUGUAUACAAGAAAUUACUGUCCAACAAGUGCUCUUGUAUCAAUGACACCACAAGAAACUUGGAGUAGAAGACAACCUUGCAUUUUCCAUAUGAGGACCUUUGGUUGCAUUGCAUAUGCAAAAAUACCAAAUUAUAUGAAGUCCAAACUUGAUGCAAAAGGUACAAAGUAUGUGUUUCUUGGUUGUUGUGAAGGUACUAAGGCAUAUAGGCUAAUAUACUUAAAAAACAAGAAGGUCAUCAAAAGUCAUGAUGUUGAUUUUUUGGAGCACAAGAGUGCUUGUAAACACUUGGAGAUGUAUUCAAGUGAGAGUAAUGGUAUGUUUGUGGACACAUCUUUGAAUUCAGCAAAGAAAUAAGAAGAUGAAGACAAUAAAAUUGAUGACGAUGAAAAGACAAAGAAGGUUGAAAAGAUGAAGGCUCCUAUAAUUGCUAGAAAUAGUAAUAAAAGAAAUGAAGAUGUUGAAGAUUAUGAUGAUGAUGAUGAUGAUGAGUACCAACAUUAAGUGAGAAAUGACAAGGUUUAAGAGAGGAGGUUGAAAAAGAACAUAAAAAGCAGCAACGUAAAUCUUCUUCUAUAAAUGAAAGAAAAUAUCUUUUAAGAGAAAAAAGACAAUGUGGUGAAUGGUGGAAGGAUCACAUCUUUCCUCAAGUAGGUGAAGAACAUGCAAAUAUUGUUCUUCUUGUUGAUCAGUUAUCUUUGUAAGAUGCAUUAAAGUCCCAAGAAACAAUUAAGUGAGAGAAGGCUAUGGAAGAAGAGUAUCAAUCUAUUAUGGACAAUGAUACAUGGAAAUUGACACCCCUUUUAGCAAAUCGAUCUAGUAUUGGUUGUAAGUAGGUGUUUAGAACUAAAAAAGAUGCAAAAUGUUCCAUAUAAGGUAACAAUAGGCUCAAUCAUGUAUGCAAUGGUAGCCACAAGAGUAGACCUUGCAUAUGCAGUGAAUGUUGCAAGCCAAUACAUGUCUAAGGCUAGACCAUUGCAUUUGACAACGAUAAAGAAGCUAUUAAGGUACUUAAAAGGUACAAAAGACUUCAAAUUAUGCCUUGGUGGUAAGAACAUUGAUUUGUUAGGUUACUAUGAUGUGAAUUGGACUGUAGAUGCAAAUGAUAGAAGAUCCACAAUAAGAUUUGUCUUCUUCAUUGGAAUAGGAGCUAUUUCAUGGAAUUGCAAGAGACAACCUUCCAUUGCAAGAUCAACAUUGAAGGUAGAGUACAUGGCAGCAAGUCAUUGUGCAAUGGAGGUGUGUUAGAUAAAGCAACUCUUAGAAGACAUUAGACUAGGGCAAUUAGAAGCAACUCUCAUUAUCUAUGACAAUUAAGGAUGUCUUGCAUUUGCCAAGAAUCCAAAAUAAUAUUCAAGGCCCAAGCACAUUGAUGUUCAACAUCGUUUCAUACGAGAGAGGAUUGAAGAUGGAAUAAUAGGUAUGAAGUAUUGUACUACAAAUGACAUGCUUGUUGAUGUGCUUACAAAGGCAUUAAAGGAUAGAUAUCAUGAGUUGAUACAGAGAUUAGGAUUGAAAGCCUUUUGAAUGUUAACAAAGUGGGAGUGUUGAAGAUUAGCAAGUACUUGCUUAGUUACAACCACAUAGAGAUUAAGCAUAAUAUGUUGCUAAUAGUCAAAAGGUAGCAAAGAGUUAAAGGAAGUUACUAUGGUAGCACCUAGGGUUUGGUUGGAUGAAGUAAAAAUGGAUGUAAUAUCAAAAAGAUGGAAGUUGCCUCAUUGGUUAGCAAACCACCACCUAUAAGUAAAAGGUGUUGGAAGUAAGAAUUAUCUUACUCCAUACUUUUGUUUAUGUGCAAACCUUACUUAUGCUAAGUGUUUGUAGCUUUUAGACUUCUUUUCUUCAAUAGUUUAAAAUAUUUUUUUUUAAUCUAAAUGAUGUUUAGCAACAUUCUUUUUCCCACAAAGUAAAAAUACACUCCAUUAGAACAACCUCUUCAAAAACAUUCUUUACAAAGCUAUUUCUGUCUUAGUAAUAUUUACUAAAGAAUGUCAAAAUCAAGUACAAAGUUAGUAUUGAUAAUAAUUUAUCAUAUUUUUAAAUGUUGUUUAUUACAAUUUGUGCAAUUCAAAUUGAACAACAAAUUACAAGAUGCUUAGACACAAAAAAUUGAACAAGAAAACAAAUAAUAAACAAACAUACACAAGAUUGUACAUCUGAAAAUGUGAACUCACCACAUAUCAGAUAAAAAUAAACCUAAUUAUAACAAAGCAAGUUGAACAAAUGUUUAGAAUAACACAUAACAUAAAUGCAAUAAGAAAAGAAUGAAAACUCACAUCUCAAUAGGAACUAGAGAUGGCAUCGAUAUGGAUAAUAGUCUGAACUCUGGCUAGGAAAUUUCAACUGCACUUGAUGCUCGCUGGUGUCCAAAGAAAAAGUAUGGACGUUAACACGCAUGUACAAAAAGAAAGUAAGAAAUUGCAAAAAGUGAAAUAGGAUAAAAAGUUAACAGACAAAGCCAGUCGUGGAAAGAUAAGUGAAUGCGAGGAUAUUGUAGAGCCCUGCGAAGCGAAAGACAGGUUCGUGAGAUAAAUGUUUUGUGGCUCUUUGAGAACCACGCUUCGACAUCUUCGAACUGCGCUGCGUCUUUUGCCCACAAACCCAAAUGUGCGAACCCGUCCAGGAUCUACAGCGAAAAAGAACAAACACGAAAUACUGGAACACUGGGUCAAAAGCACGACCGAAUCCUGCCACAUUUCCACUCCUCGAUGUUUUACCUUGCAUUGCUUCAUGCACCCAUGUGCACUGAUACUUCAAGUUGCCUUUCACUACUGCCUGCUGGUUUACAGGCAAAAUUUUCUAAUCUCCCUCCUUCACAUUAUCGUGUGAAGCUGAGUUGGUGUAACGAAAGCCUUGUAGAGGAAAGCGUUUGGUGUGAACGGGUACUGUGCAAACCUGUUCUUCGUCUGUUUUGAAUCAGAAACGGCACACGUUUGGUCAUUGUACUAGAAAAUUGUUCUUAGAUUUUCUGACUGCAAACAGUACGAUCAUUUUCAACAUACUACGUUAAGCGUUCCAGUGAAAUGCAUACAUCCUUCUGCGGGUGCAAUCGCUACAUGCUGCAUUGUGUGGUUGUUGGUGUUAGCAACAUUCAUCUUGGUGACGCUGUCUACUGGUCACAAAUCCCAGCCGACUCGUUCUGUCUCUCACACAGAAUAUGCAAAGAAGAACACCGCGACAAUUUCCACAAUUCCUGAUUUGGAUCAGAGAAUAUUGCCACAAGAAGCUUGUGUUUUGAAGACAGACGCUUACAUUGUGCGGUUACGAGGUCUAGAUCUUGCUAACUGCGUCCAGUACUUUGAGGCUGGUCGCUGGUCAACGAUUAAAGGGCAAUGUUAACAGAGAGAUCAUUGAGGCUGGGAAACGCUCCAUUGCAGUGAAAUUAGUAUUAGUGAAAGUAACAAUUGUAUUUUAGUAUUAGCCAAGGCCUAAUUAACCCUAUCCCCACCCAGCUAUGUAAUGGUUACUCCCUAUUUGAAUUAUUUCCAUUUAAGUCAGAAAAAACAAUAAAAAAAUAAUAAUAAUAUAAAAGACGAACAAAAAGAAGCUAAUUGGCUAGCUAAAUUCGCUAUGCUAGGUCUCCUACUCGAAAAUCCAAUCAUCCUAACAAAGCGUCUCAAUGUCCACCCAGCAGCCAUGCAAUUCUCCAUAAGAUGGAGUUAAAGAGGCGGGAGUGCCUCGAAUCGGAACAGUACCGUAUCGACGUUGUGGCCAGUGUUCGGCGAGGUCCAUCCGAACUUACGUACUCGCCGACCCACUCUCCACCCUCGCGGAACUCCGAAUCCUUCCACCAGCUGUAAGUGGUUCCUGACCCGCAUGUAAGGCAAUCCGGCUUUGACCAGAAACUCAUUGUACGAGUCCGGAAUCUCGUCCACGGAGAUGGUCACCGACUUUUGCGCCAGUUGGAACAUUCUCACUAGCACUGCACACAUUUCCACCUCGUCAAGGUACUGGAGGGUCGAGACACACACGACGUGGUCGAACGAUGUGGUGGUGUCCAUUAUCACGUCCUGAAGGGGACCAAUCUUCACUUCCUUGUAUGUCUCCGGGAUUGGAUUCUUCUGAACCAUUUGCUCGGAUACGUCAUUGCCCACGAUCGUGCUCAGUUCUGAGCCGUCUUUGCGUUUCCUUUGAUGCUCGUGGAGCAAGCGACCGAACUUUCCCGUGCCGCUGCCCAAUUCAAACACCGUGCCGGAAUAAUCGUAGUCGGCGAUUAGAAAUUCGUAGUUCGAGGCCAUCGUUCCCAAAUAACUUUCGUAGCUCGCCGAGAAGGCGUCGAAUUCCUUGGCCACAGGGGCAACCUUGAUCUUGUGCUUUCCCAGCUGCUGCAGUCUGCUGUUGACAAUCACGUUCACAAGCGCGCGAUGACCGCCGGGAAACGUCUCGCGGAUCACGAUGUCCUCCCACUCGUGCUCCCAGCGGUAGAACACCGCCGGCCCCGGGUUGACCUCCAGGAUGAAGGGCUUACCGUCUGACGCUCGAACCCUAAUAUCCACAUUGCCCCAGCUGUUUCCUGCCAUUUGGUUGACGUGCCAGGCUCUCUCCGCCAGAUUGCGCAACAUGUCGAAGAGCGCUGGGUCUUUGCAACGCACCAGGAGCUCCUCACGCAUCUCCGGGUGGCAUUUGAUGUCGAAAGUCAUGAAAUCAGCGCCGGCGUUGAUUGCGGGGCAUCGGUAGGUAGUCGGGUUUAGCGCCACGGGCGUGUUGCCCAUCUCGAUGAGAAUGACGGAGUAAUCGCGCCCAGGUAUGUACUCUUGGACGACAAUGUCGAUAUCACUCCCGUCGAAAUGAGCAACUCCGUUGCCAUAAGCACUACCGUUAACGUGAUCACUUCCAUCGACAUGGGCGAUUCUAUUGCCGUUGACGCUCCCGUUAUCGUGAUCACUUCCGUUGACAUGGGCACUCCCGUUUCCAUCAGCGCUCCUAUUGCAAUGAUUGGCGAUGGUUGCGGCGGCUUCCUUUCGACCGGGAGCAAGAUACUCAUUGAUGCGGGCCAGCUGCUGAUCAAGUUCGCUUUGGUUCUUGCACACGGACCUUUCGUCGAUAAACAUUGACGCGCACAUCUUCGCCGGUUUCACAAACACCGGGAACUUCAUGUCAGCACCCCUUGCCGGCACUGGCAAUCCAGAUUUCUUGGCCGCGUUGUAGAAGUCGAGCUUCGAUCGUCUCAAGACCUUGCUCUGAUAACCCACAAUUGGAACUCCCAAAGACUCCAAGUAUUCAGUAGCCUCUAUACCCGCGACGGUAUCCUCGAGUUGGCCCCACAUGAAGUUGAGGAACAUGUCGAAGCCCUCGGCGACGGCAGCAUCGAUCUGGGCGUUGGCAGUGGCUUUGUUGAUGUAACGGUGAUGGAAUUCGUGUUGGGAGGUGAACAUGGCGGGGUCUGGAAAGCUGGGGUCAUUGAUGGCAAGGGCUUGGGUGGAGUCUGCGUAGGGAGCCUGGAGAACACAGAUCUUCAUGGUGAAUGGUUUGGUACUAAUUCCGCAGCUUGAUCAGAAAUCGCUGAGGAGGAAUACGCCCGUACGAAAGAAGCUGUGCUUGUUCUCGAAACCGGCAGAUGGCCAGGAAAGUCAACAGAAUGUCAUGCCUGCACAUGCAUAUUACAGUCACAUACAAGAGUAUAAAAACUCUCGAACGAACGAAAUUUGUUUUUCCAUGUAGCAGCAGUCUGGCUAGUACCGUGGGCAGAAGAAAACAUGAAAAGCACGAUGAUAACUAUUCACAUGUGAUGGGAUUUGGCCAUGGAACUAGACCAGCGUCAGAAGCUCUUACCUCAAACACCUGAAGUU